UACGAAGGGGGCUAGCGUUGCUCGGAAUCACUGGGCGUAAAGCGCACGUAGGCGGCUUUCUAAGUCAGGGGUGAAAUCCUGGAGCUCAACUCCAGAACUGCCUUUGAUACUGGAGAGCUAGAGUCCGGAAGAGGUGAGUGGAACUGCGAGUGUAGAGGUGAAAUUCGUAGAUAUUCGCAAGAACACCAGUGGCGAAGGCGGACUCACUGGUCCGGUACUGACGCUGAGGUGCGAAAGCGUGGGGAGCAAAGCAGGG
rnacentral:rRNA from 1 species